GACGAACGCUGGCGGCGUGCCUAAUACAUGCAAGUCGAACGCAGUGGGGACGGGUGAGUAACACGUGGGUAACCUCCCAUCAGAGGGGAUAACACUUGGCAACAGGCGCUAAACUCAUAUUGAUGGAUGGACCCGCGGUGCAUUAGCUAGUUGGUGAGGUAACGGCCCACCAAGGCAACGAUGCAUAGCGGGCCUGGGAGGGUGAUCGGCCACACUGGGACUGAGACACGGCCCAGACUCCUACGGGAGGCAGCAGUAGGGAAUCUUCGGCAAUGGACGAAAGUCUGACCGAGCAACGCCGCGUGAGUGAAGAAGGUUUUCGGAUCGUAAAACUCUGUUGUUAGAGAAGCGGUAUCUAACCAGAAAGCCACGGCUAACUACGUGCCAGCAGCCGCGGUAAUUC
rnacentral:rRNA from 1 species